CAGUCGCCGCGGUAAUACGGAGGGGGCUAGCGUUGUUCGGAAUUACUGGGUGUAAAGCGCACGUAGGCGGCUUGGUAAGUUAGAGGUGAAAGCCUGGAGCUCAACUCCAGAAUUGCCUUUAAGACUGCCGAGCUAGCAGGUGAGAGAGGUAAGUGGAAUUCCGAGUGUAGAGGUGAAAUUCGUAGAUAUUCGGAAGAACACCAGUGGCGAAGGCGGCUUACUGGCUCAUACUGGACGCUGAGGCUCGAAAGCGUGGGGAGCAAACAGGAUUAGAUACCCCCGUAGUCCCUGUCUCUUAUAC
rnacentral:rRNA from 1 species